AGGAAUAGAACUGAAUUAUCCCAAAAGUAUUGGGGAUUGAUGGAUAUACUUGGAAUUUUGAUUGUUUAAAUAUUUUUUUUCUUUCUGUAUGGAUAUUUGGCAUACAGAAUCCACCUAAACUAGUCUCCAAAUUAGAAUUUUCAAAUUGAAAUUUGGCUUUUGAUUGAGAAAGAUAGUGACUUGGAGAUAUCUUAAUAUUUGUUCAUGGCUAGUGAAUAUUUAAAAUAAGAAUGUGGGAAGAGGGAUCAGUUGUAGAUACACCUGGAAACAGAAGAGAUCUCUGUUUUGUGAAGGGAAAAUUCAGUGCUUGAUAUAAAAUUUUUGCAUUUGAUAAUAUGUUAAAUGCUUUGAAAAUCUAGGAAUGUUUUGUUCAUUUAAUCAUUCAUUUACAAAUUUUUAAUUAGGCCAGGCAUUUUUCUAGAUGUCAAGACACAGCAGUGAAAAAAGCACACAUAAAUAUCUUCCCUUAGUAAAUUGUUAUUUUAGUUGUGGUGAGAGACAUGAUAAAGAAGUUAAAAAUAGUAUGUGAGAUGGUAACAAGUGCUGUGGAGUGAAGGUGAUCAGGGCUUUGGUGAUGGGAUUGCUAUUUUAAAUAGUGCAUGAGGGAAGGCUCCCUGAGACAACAUUUAAGGAAAAUCAAAGGAGAUGAGGAGGUAAGCUGUAUAGCUCUCUGGUGAAACAGCUUAUAUAGAGGAAGAGUGUUCUAGGCAAAUGAAAUAGCAAGUGCAAAGGCCCUGAGGUAGAAGCAUGCUUUCAGUGCUUGAGGAGGCCACGGUGGUAUGAGCAGAGUGAGUGAAGGGAGAAUAGUAGGAGAUAACAUCAGAGGAAAAAUAGAAAGUCAUAUCAUGUAGGGCCUUGUAAGUUAUUUGAGGGCUUUGGCUUUUACUUUGGUAGAGAUAAGAUUGGAGAGUUUCGAGCAGGGGAAUGAUGUGGCCUAGGAUAUACUUUAAAAAGGAUGAUAUUCUGUUAAGAAUAUCCUAUAUUCUCUUAUGGGGCAGAGAUGGGAGACCAGUUAGGAGACCAUUGCAAUAAGGUGAUGGUGACUUGAAGCAAACUGGUAGCAGUUGAAGUGGUAAGAAGUGGUCAGUUCUGGAUUCUAUCCUGUGAGUAGAACUGGCUUCUUUUGGAUUGGGUAGGACAAAUGAAAAAAUAGAGGAUUCCAGGUUGACUUUAAGAUUUUUGCCUUGAAGAAUUGUAAGGUUGGAAUUGCCACUUGCUGAGAUGGUGGAAAUGGGGAGAAGCAGUUUGGGAAGGUGGAAGACUAAAAGUUUGCUUUCGAGCAUGGCUAACCACUUUUGGCUCUCAUUGACUUGAGAUUUGCUCUGUGCAUGGCUAUUUAAAAAGCCAGCAAUCUCGGGUACCUGAAAUAAAUUAACUUAUAAAUUUUGGCCAAAACAUUCAUCAGGAGUUUUUAUUUUUUUACCUAGAAAAUGUAACAGGAUUCAGCAAACAUUUCUUUAUAAUAUUGAGUAUUAUUUUACAUUUAAAUUGAGAUAUUUGUACUUUAUGCAAAUCCAGGUCAUCUUUUUUACCAAGAAUGCCAAGAAAAAAUUUAAAAUUUUAAAAUUAUUAUUCCUUACUAUUAACAAGUUUUAAUAGUAAGGAAUAAUAUUAAAUAAUAACACUUUAGCUAUUAUACAAGUGUUAAUAAUAAGGAGCAAUAGAAUCAGAUAAAUAUUAAUAGGUUUAAAUUCAUUUUUAUUAUAUGAUUUUAAAGCAAAUCCAAAUUAGCAUAUCUCUUCACUCAUAAAUACUUCUGUAAAAAUGUUUAUGUCUGAAGAAUAUGUUUUAUCCACUUAUCUAGCUUUUAGUUCCAAUUUCUGUCAAUUCUGGUAUACCUAUACUACCACAUUCAAAGCCUUAUCUGUCUCUAAGUAGGUAUAAGAGGUCCUUAAACAACUCUUAAGAAUUGCUCUAAAGAAAGCGACAAUAAUACAGUUAAAUAAAAAUUCUUCAAUGAGAUCACACUACACAUAUUAAGAUAAAACUUUCCUUUUCCUUCUUCAAUCUUGUGUGAAGUGUGUGUAUUUUCUAGGAAUAUUUGUGAAAACGUUCGUUUUGUACAUUUUUGAAAAGUAGAGCUACUGUACAUCUACUUAAAAUACAGCUCAGCCUAUGUCUGCAAAUGAACUAAGGUGAGGACCUUUCUGGGAAAUUGAAAAUAUUUAAUAUUCUGUUUAAGAAACCAAGAGAUUUUAAAUGAUCCAAAGAGAAGUUUCUAGAUCAGCAAUAUUUGCAAAAUACGUAAGUGAAAAUGAACUUUUAGCUAUUAUACAGUGUUGGAGCAUUUAGAAAAUUACCCACGGAGUUCCUGUCAUGGCGCAGUGGUUAACAAAUCCAACUAGGAACCAUGAGGUUGCGGGUUUGAUCCCUGGCUUUGCUCAGUGGGUUAAGGAUCUGGCAUUGCUGUGAGCUAUGUUGUAGGUUGCAGACAUGGCUCAGAUCCCUCAUUGCUGUGGCUGUGGCGUAGGCUGGUGGCUACAGCUCUGAUUAGACCCCUAGCCUGGGAAUCUUCAUAUGCCACAGGAACGGCCCUAGAAAAGGCAAAAAGACAAAAAAAAAAAAAAAAAAAAAAAAAAAAAAG
ensembl:lncRNA